GCCGUCGACGAGGAUGUGGCGCUGGGCACCCCCACUGCUCGGAGAAGAAAAGCAGAGGAAGAAGAAGCCCUGUGAGAGGUGGCGCAUUCGCGGAAAAUACGUCUUCGCUGCUGGGAGGCACCUUGCGGGGCGACGCGUGUGUAGCUGGGCUACGGGGUGCGGGCGCGUGUAGCUGGCCCCAGUGGGCCUGGGCCGACUCGGGCCGAAAGGUAAGAAGGUAAGCUUCUUUCUUUUUUUUCUUUUUUUCCUUCUUCUGUUUUUCUCUUUUGUAAAUAGUUUUGUUUGUACUUUGCUUUUGAUCCAAAAUUCCAAGUACUAUUUUGAAAAGCUGAGGAGUAGGAGAAAUCAAAUAUGGUAGUAUUAUUUGGAAAUAUUCAAAUGGGGGUAAAGGUUUAAAUCAAAACCCAUUUAAAUGUCAUUUGUAAAAGAUAGGAAAAGGAAUCUAAAUCCCAAAAGAGAAAGAGGGAAGAUUCAUAUUUGAAUCUUCUAGCAAACCCUAACAACAAGGUGACGUUGACAACAUCUAAACAAGGAGAGAUUUAGAAUUCGAAAACCCAAAUUAAUAUGUGACUAACCAACAACAAGAUUUAAACAACAAGUCGAAGUGGUGAUUUUAACUUCAAUGUGAAGCAAAGGUAGAUAUGACAUCGCAUGGAUGCAAAUGUAAAUGUCAUGGCAACAUUAAUUAAAUUACAAACAGGUCCA
rnacentral:lncRNA from 1 species